AUAGAGACUCAGAGCUGCAUAUCAAUAAGCGGAGGAAAAGAAACUAACUAGGAUUACCUUAGUAACGGCGAGUGAAGCGGGAAGAGCUCAAAUUUGAAAUCUUCAAGGUUCUACCUUGACGAAUUGUAGUUUAAAGAAGUGUUUUCUGUUGGAGUUUUGGUAAAAGUUCUUUGGAAUAGGACAUCAUAGAGGGUGAGAAUCCCGUAUUUGACCAUUUCUUCCAGCUGUGUGAUACACUUUCAAAGAGUCGGAUUGUUUGGGAAUGCAGUCCAAAAUGGGUGGUAAAUUUCAUCUAAAGCUAAAUAUUGGCGAGAGACCGAUAGCGAACAAGUACCGUGAGGGAAAGAUGAAAAGAACUUUGAAAAGAGAGUUAAACAGUACGUGAAAUUGUCAAAAGGGAAGCGUUUGACACCAGUGUUGUUUUCUCGAAAAUCAAUUAAAAAUGACUGGAUUUUGUGUUGUAUUGACUUUAUCAGCUUUCUGCACUUUUUUCUUGUCUUUUUUAAUGCACUUUUCGUUUAACAAGUCAACAUCAAUUUCUUUUGUUGUAAAAGGGUCAUUGGAAGGUGGCUUUCAUUUCGGUGAAAGUGUUUAUAGCCUUUGACUUCUGCAAUCGGAGAGAUUGAGGUCUGCAGCGUAGAUCCUUCGGGGUUAGAUACAUUUGUGCUAAGUUAUAGCUUUUCAUAGACAACAUUGUUGAUUAUGAUUAAUCUAUGUAGCUUACUCGCUUAUGCUAUUUUACCUACGCUUAGGAUGUUGAUAGUCACAGCGUGUAC
rnacentral:rRNA from 1 species